GAUGAACGCUGGCGGCGUGCCUAAUACAUGCAAGUCGAGCGAACAGACGAGGAGCUUGCUCCUCUGACGUUAGCGGCGGACGGGUGAGUAACACGUGGAUAACCUACCUAUAAGACUGGGAUAACUUCGGGAAACCGGAGCUAAUACCGGAUAAUAUAUUGAACCGCAUGGUUCAAUAGUGAAAGACGGUUUUGCUGUCACUUAUAGAUGGAUCCGCGCCGCAUUAGCUAGUUGGUAAGGUAACGGCUUACCAAGGCAACGAUGCGUAGCCGACCUGAGAGGGUGAUCCGCCAAACUUGAACUGAGAACCGGUCCAGACUCCUAAGGGAGGCAGCAGUAGGGAAUCUUCCGCAAUGGGCGAAAGCCUGACGGAGCAACGCCGCGUGAGUGAUGAAGGUCUUCGGAUCGUAAAACUCUGUUAUUAGGGAAGAACAAAUGUGUAAGUAACUAUGCACGUCUUGACGGUACCUAAUCAGAAAGCCACGGCUAACUACGUG
rnacentral:rRNA from 1 species